GACGAACGCUGGCGGCGUGCUUAACACAUGCAAGUCGAACGGAAAGGCCCUGCUUUUGUGGGGUGCUCGAGUGGCGAACGGGUGAGUAACACGUGAGUAACCUGCCCUUGACUUUGGGAUAACUUCAGGAAACUGGGGCUAAUACCGGAUAGGAGCUCCUGCUGCAUGGUGGGGGUUGGAAAGUUUCGGCGGUUGGGGAUGGACUCGCGGCUUAUCAGCUUGUUGGUGGGGUAGUGGCUUACCAAGGCUUUGACGGGUAGCCGGCCUGGGAGGGUGACCGAGCAAUGUGGGAGUGGAGGAGGCCCGAGACUCCGAGGGGGGAAAGCGGUGGGAAGUAUGGCUGAGGGGGCGGAAGCCGGAGGCAACACCCCCGAGGGGGGGAGGAGGGCUUAGGGUUAGAAAACCUGUUGCGCCUGUAAGGAGGGGGGAGUGAGGAUAAUGGAAAAAGACGCACGGGCGAACGACGAG
rnacentral:rRNA from 1 species